AAAAUCCGUUGGCUUUAUUGACCGUGAGGGUUCAAGUCCCUCUACCCCCACA
rnacentral:tRNA from 2 species